AUGGCGAACUUCAGGAUGGACGACGACGACGAGUUGUUCCACCGCUACGACCCUGAGGUGUUGGCCGCCAACGGCAUCGACUAUCCCCCCCGCGAUGCUAGGAUGCGCAUCAAGUGGUGGGCUUUUCUGAUGCAAGUGGAGGGUAAUUUGAGACUUACAAAUAUGUCGGUACCUUCGGCAAAGAUCAUCAGGUACCCAGAUCAAAUGGAGAAGGCAUGGGGAUGGUGGAGGCUGCUGCCGAUCUAUCAGGGCCUCGGUCCGGACAUGCCCCUCUACCGGGAGUACCUCUGCGAGUACUACCUCCGCAAUCCUCCUGAAUCUGUUGAUGACUCUGCCUGUACUCGGCACAAGUUUGUGGUCCGAUCUGCAUGGACAAAUGAGAAUGGCCGCCUCAUUCCUCUCGCCGGCAAAUGUCUGGAGAUGGAGGCCAAGUUCAUCGGUCUGUGUGAGAGGAACAAGAUAAAAUUAACUGACACUGAGACUGCCCUGAGCCACAAAAUCAAGCAGCACGCGCAGGACAUAGUUGAUGGAGCGUGUGAAUAUGCUGGUGCAUAUGCUGCCGCUGCUGCUUUGGUGUGUAUCUGCAAAGAGGCUGAGUUGAUGUGCGAGAGGGCUAUGUGCGGGAGAUACAACUCUGGUAUCAUGGCUUGCAUGCUCUGCAAUCAGAUCAGAGAGCAUGCCAUCAGUCUUAUGGAGUACAAAGGGUCUGGAUCCAUCGCCGCCGCUGCUGGUGCCGCCAUGGUGGGCGCUGCAAAGGAGGCCAAGCUGUUACGUGAGAAUCUGAGCAAUCUAGGCUGUGACGAAGAAAUGUCUGCUUCCAUUCGGGAGGAAGCCUGUUGCAUUCUGCAGGACAUGCACACUGAAGCUUUUGGUGCUAAUGGGAAGAACAGCAUUGCUGCUGCUGAUGAUGGAGCAGAGAAAUCUACUAGGUACGGAUCAGCACUGCUGGGAAUUUGA
rnacentral:rRNA from 1 species